rnacentral:rRNA from 1 species
AAUCAACGCUGGCGGCGUGCCUCAGACAUGCAAGUCGAACGCGAAAGUCUCCUUCGGGGGACAAGUAGAGUGGCGCACGGGUGAGUAACACGUAGGUAAUCUACCUUCGGAUGGGGAAUAACAAUCGGAAACGGUUGCUAAUACCGCGUAAUGCAGCGGCACCUAAUGGUGACAGUUGUUAAAGCGGGGGAUCGAAAGACCUCGCGUCUGAAGAGGAGCCUGCGGCGGAUUAGCAGUUGGUAGGGUAACGGCCUACCAAGGCGACGAUCCGUAGCCGGCCUGAGAGGGCGGUCGGCCACACUGACACUGACAUACGGGUCAGACUCCUACGGGAGGCAGCAGUCGGGAAUUUUGGGCAAUGGGCGAAAGCCUGACCCAGCAACGCCGCGUGAAGGAUGAAAUCCCUCGGGAUGUAAACUUCGCAAGAACGGGAAGAAUAAGCCUGUGCUAAUACCACUGGCGAUGACGGUACCGUUUGUAAGCUCCGGCUAA